GACGAACGCUGGCGGCGUGCUUAACACAUGCAGGUCGAACGGAAAGGCCCUGCUUUUGUGGGGUGCUCGAGUGGCGAACGGGUGAGUAACACGUGAGUAACCUGCCCUUGACUUUGGGAUAACUUCAGGAAACUGGGCCUAAUACCGGAUAGGAGCUCCUGCUGCAUGGUGGGGGUUGGAAAGUUUCGGCGGUUGGGGAUGGACUCGCGGCUUAUCAGCUUGUUGGUGGGGUAGUGGCUUACCAAGGCUUUGACGGGUAGCCGGCCUGAGAGGGUGACCGGCCACAUUGGGACUGAGAUACGGCCCAGACUCCUACGGGAGGCAGCAGUGGGGAAUAUUGCACAAUGGGCGGAAGCCUGAUGCAGCAACGCCGCGUGCGGGAUGACGGCCUUCGGGUUGUAAACCGCUUUCGCCUGUGACGAAGCGUGAGUGACGGUAAUGGGUAAAGAAGCACCGGCUAACUACGUG
rnacentral:rRNA from 1 species